UACAGAGGGGGCAAGCGUUGUUCGGAAUUACUGGGCGUAAAGGGCGCGUAGGCGGCCUGCUAAGUCGAACGUGAAAUCCCCGAGCUCAACUCGGGAACUGCGUCCGAUACUGGCAGGCUUGAAUCCGGGAGAGGGAUGCGGAAUUCCAGAUGUAGCGGUGAAAUGCGUAGAUAUCUGGAGGAACACCGGUGGCGAAGGCGGCAUCCUGGACCGGCAUUGACGCUGAGGCGCGAAAGCCAGGGGAGCAA
rnacentral:rRNA from 1 species